rnacentral:rRNA from 1 species
GACAGAGGGUGCAAACGUUGUUCGGAAUUACUGGGCGUAAAGCGAGUGUAGGCGGUCUGCUAAGUCGGGUGUGAAAGCCCCGGGCUCAACCCGGGAAGUGCACUCGAAACUGGCAGGCUAGAGUACUGGAGAGGUUGGUGGAAUUCUCGGUGUAGAGGUGAAAUUCGUAGAUAUCGAGAGGAACACCGGUGGCGAAGGCGGCCAACUGGACAGAUACUGACGCUGAGACUCGAAAGCGUGGGUAGCAAACAGG